rnacentral:rRNA from 1 species
UACAGAGGUCUCAAGCGUUGUUCGGAUUCAUUGGGCGUAAAGGGUGCGUAGGCGGCGCGGUAAGUCGGGUGUGAAAUCUCGGGGCUUAACUCCGAAACUGCAUUCGAUACUGCCGUGCUUGAGGACUGGAGAGGAGACUGGAAUUUACGGUGUAGCGGUGAAAUGCGUAGAUAUCGUAAGGAAGACCAGUGGCGAAGGCGGGUCUCUGGACAGUUCCUGACGCUGGAGGCACGAAGGCCCAGGGGAGCAAAACGGG